rnacentral:misc_RNA from 1 species
UUAAUUGGACCGAUGUAACUGCGUGUCUGACCAGUUAGAAAGUGAAAUUGAUACCUCUGUUGUCGUGGAACGAAGCUGAAGAUUCACGAGAUGAAAUUGCGUCAUCGAGGAUUUUAACCCUCGCGACCCGAUUCUGCAUUUAUAGUGCGUUUUCUCCAUGUGAUCAACGUGAAAUCAAAUAUUUGGUGUUUGGUGUAUUACAUUGCACAAAAUAUUUGCAGUUUGCACAUUCUUUUCCACAGCACGUAACUGAAGCAACAAAUACAAUGAUGCAAUUCUCGGUACAUUUUAUAACCGUCGUAAAUCAUUGCUCUUGAGAAUGUUGGAUGAAAGCUAUCUUAAACAAGGAUGAAAAGUAUAACAAGUAAACUGAAGUUCUUCGUUGUUGACGAAUAAUCAGUACUUAUUAUAAAGUAUAGAAAUAAUUAUUUAUAUAAAAAGAUAAAAUUACAUAGGCAAAUAUACAUAAAUAUCUCGAAUCAACGUAACUCUUGUCAGAAAAAAAUGCAUCAACGAAUCGAAUACUUGUCGUCCAUUGAUGAAGUAAACCGCUAGAUUGAUCUGCAACAGUCAAUAUUUCCAGUACACAAGAUAAAGAACAUUUUUAGAUGCAGACGCAGUGGCCGUUGGCGAGAAAUGUUCUGGAAAGUUUAUCACGAGAGUUUUACUCUCAAAUACACAGCGUUGUUUAACAGUUACAUCAUACGAUCUUCGAGCUGUCGAUCAAGCACGGGGAGGUUGACGCUGCGUUUCAAAGCAGGUCGAAGUAUAUAGAGCGAUGGUGUAAAAAUCCGCGGAAACGAGGAAAAAAUUUCCAACAAACGAGCAAAUCACCACUUAUCUCGUCGAGACGAUAUUUUAAACUCGGAUGCUUACCGACGGUUUAGCGAGAUUCACACUUCCUCUUAAUCCACGUUUAUUCCAAUUAUCAGGCGUAAAGAUGAACUAAAACUCUUUACGAGAACAAAUCUUCUUCCUUCAGUACUCCGUGAUUCCACCAGUGAAAGGCAUUGUGUGAAAUCUAACGAUGGUUUACGAAGAAAUAAAUUUAAAGAUCCUCCAGAGAUUGAAUUUGCAAGCAAUUAAAGCGAUAAUAUUUUAAUUUCACUGACAAUUAUUUGAUUUUCCCUUUCUUUCAAUUAUUUCAAGAAAUAUCAUAGAAUAGUACGAUACUUUCUGGAUAUUAUGGUAUAAAAUAUGCUCGAUUAGAAAAUAUCCAUUGUAUAUUAAUAAUAUAGAAAGUAGAAUAAGAGAUGAAAACGCGUGUUAUGAUGGAAAAAUCGAGCGCUGGUCGAUCGAUCGACGAACGUUAGUCU